AUGCCAGUCACAUGUAUAUAUCUCUCUCUCCGUCAGGCUUUCUCUCAGCCGUUCCGAUCUAACCCUAACUUAGCGAGAAAGUCUCCAACUCUCACCAUGGGCGAAUACAAGAUCGAAGAUUUCUCCAAGCCUAUCACACCCGUCGAAGGGGCUAAGACAGGCGUCUUCUGGAACAUUGAUGAUUGCCCGUUCCCUGUUGGUUUCAGUCCAGAUAUGAUCUAUCACCAAAUUGAAUCUGCUCUUAGCGAAUGGUGUAAUGUAGGUAACAUGUCAAUGUGGGCUUAUGUUGAUGAGGAGAAAGGGCAUUGGUCGGGGAAGGGUGAGUUUCUGCGUAAGAAGACGUGGGAAUCCAAAAUCUAUUUCCUUCCAGGAGGGGAUAAACUCUUGAGAGAUGAUAGACUGUCACAUGACAUUCUUUUAUGGCAAAUGGACUCUCCUGUAGACUAUCCAAAUCCAGCAAAUUUGAUCGUAGUCUCAGAUAAAGUUAGAGAUCACACGUACUUAUUCGAAACACUUGGAUGUUUGAAUCAGAGACAUUACAGUGUUAUGUUGGUAACUCCGACUAACCUACCACUAACCCCUGAUUGGCCAGCAUCGCUAUUAGAGGAAGGCGCAUACAGUUUUGGCCAGGAAACUUAAAGUGAAGAUCCUAUUCCGAUGCAGGUGAAGAAACACCUGAGAGGUAGGAAGAUCAGGGCUGGUACUGAUUAUGUGGACUAUCUAGCUGUGGAUGUGCCCAUUUUUGUGUAGCUAUCACAAACUCAAUUUCAAUUGAAUUUCUAUUAUUUUAAACAGAAAAUUCCUUCACUGAUGGUUUGACCCUCUUGAGCAAAAGAAGUUUCAUGAAUUUUAGUCAAGUGGUCAGGACAGGAAAGCACAACAACUAGAAGAAACUACAUAUUAGUUUACAGUAAGUUUGCGUUCAUAUACGAGCAUACCCGACUCUUCGUUGGGUAUAUUGUGUAUGUUUUCUCGUUGAACAUGUGUCUCUUCCUUGAACAUAGAGUCUUUUGGUUGUUUAUAUAUAUAUAUGAGACAUUGCAAAGAGGAGAGAAUCAAUUAACACAUCUAAUUCAGAACAAGAAUGAUUCGAGAGAGAAAGUAAAAACAUUUGUGUGAGAAAAACACAUCUAUGUACACUUAAGGAAGUUUGUGAAACAGAGACACUAGAAUGUAAAAGUCUACGUUGCAUCGAAGCUUCAUCGGACGUCUGAUUACCGCUUCGAAACCGGAAUCAGAAUCGGAAACUUGUGAAAGCUUACGGAAUUUUGCUUCCAAAACGCUUCCAAACUAUUCUCUUUAAAAAACACGUUAGAAACUUAUGAUUCCGUUUUGGACGUUUUCGUUUUGGAAGCUUCCGUUCUUUAAAAAAAAAUACAAUAUCAUAUAUCAAUAAAAAAAUAUAAUCAUAGUAUAUGUUUAUAAAUUAAGGAUAGCGAUUAUUACCAUAUCUUCUAGGUUUUAAUAUUAUUAUCAUUUUUCAGAAUAAGAAUAAUAAAUUAGCAUAUAAAAAAAGAAUUUUUUUUUUUUUGAUAAAUUGUUGAUCUCUUACUGAUAUGAUUUUAUUGGUAGUAAAGACGUACACGUUUGUUAAGGAAGGCGAUCUCUCAUCCGUAGCUAUAAAACCAACAAAGGCCCUCCCUCACCCGACCUAACCCUAACGUAGCGAGCAAGUCUCCAAUUCGUAACAAUGCCCCAAGGCAUGAGCGAAUAUUUCUCCGGCAAUUGGACAUUCGUCUUCUGGCUCACGGAUGACUACCCAGUCCCUGAUGGUGUCGAGAUUAAUUCUAUCUAUAAUACUAUCCACGCAGCUCUUUAUCAAAUGGGUUUUGAUAAGGUGCAGCCAAUCCGGAAGUAUUGUGACAACGACAAACAGUAUGAUGUUCCGCCUGCUAAACAAAUGGUUAGGGAAAUGCUUGCUCUAGCAGGAUCGAUGUGUGAUGACCCAGUAACUUUAGUGGUCAUCGCAAAACAAAGCACAAACCCUGACAUGAACAGGGUUCUUCACUGUUUGAACUCCAGAAACAACCCUGUUCUCGUGGUCGAGCCGCCUGAUGAUGACACCGCGCGAGAUAGUGUAUUUCGUUCUGUCGACUCGUUUGUUGAGUGUACACAUGUUGUAGGUGGAGGAAAGACUACAAGGCCACAAAGUUGUUGUUAUGAUAUUGAUUCUGAUUCUGAUUCUGAUGCUGAUCCUGAUCCUGAUCCUGAUCCUGAGGAGGAUGCUUAUCGGUGGACGAAAAGAAUGAUUAUAAGCUGGAACGCUAAAAUAUUAAUGUCCUCCAGUGAUUGUGGUUCCUGUUAAGUAUUUGGGGUUAAUGUAUGAUGUUUCAUCUUUGUUCUGUUAAACUCUGUUUUGGGUUCAAAUGAUUUGCAGCUAUUUCUAAGCUCUUCUCAACCUAAUGCAUUCUUUAAUUUCUCCAAGAAUUUUCAGAGGGCACUUCACAAAAUGUCUUUAUAAUAGAAGAAAAUAAAUAUUGGGCAUGGUUAACUUGGA